AGAGUUAUAGGUUAAAGUGAAACCCUUGGCCUUCAAAGCCAAACAUAGAUUAAUAUCUGUCUUGACUCUG
rnacentral:tRNA from 1 species